UGACGAAGGCCCUAGGGUCGUAAAGCUCUUUCGCUAGGGAAGAUAAUGACGGUACCUAGUAAAGAAGUCCCGGCUAACUCCGUGCCAGCAGCCGCGGUAAUACGGAGGGGACUAGCGUUGUUCGGAAUUACUGGGCGUAAAGCGCGCGUAGGCGGACUAUUAAGUCAGGGGUGAAAUCCCGGGGCUCAACCCCGGAACUGCCUUUGAUACUGGUAGUCUUGAGAUCGAGAGAGGUGAGUGGAAUUCCGAGUGUAGAGGUGGAAUUCGUAGAUAUUCGGAGGAACACCAGUGGCGAAGGCGGCUCACUGGCUCGAUACUGACGCUGAGGUGCGAAAGUGUGGGGAGCAAACAGGAUUAGAUACCCUGGUAGUCCACACCGUAAACGAUGAAUGCCAGACGUCGGGUAGCAUGCUAUUCGGUGUCACACCUAACGGAUUAAGCAUUCCGCCU
rnacentral:rRNA from 1 species